GACCAGGUGGCUCAGUUGGUUAGAGCAUUGUCCCAUACGCCAAAGGGCUUCAGGUUCGAUUCCUGGUUGGGGCA
rnacentral:tRNA from 1 species